GAUGAACGCUGGCGGCGUGCCUAACACGUGCAAGUCGAACGAAGCACCUUACCUGAUUCUUCGGAUGAAAGUUUGGUGACUGAGUGGCGGACGGGUGAGUAACGCGUGGGUAACCUGCCCUGUACAGGGGGAUAACAGCUGGAAACGGCUGCUAAUACCGCAUAAGCGCACGAGGAGACAUCUCCUUGUGUGAAAAACUCCGGUGGUACAGGAUGGGCCCGCGUCUGAUUAGCUGGUUGGCAGGGUAACGGCCUACCAAGGCAACGAUCAGUAGCCGGUCUGAGAGGAUGAACGGCCACAUUGGAACUGAGACACGGUCCAAACUCCUACGGGAGGCAGCAGUGGGGAAUAUUGCACAAUGGGGGAAACCCUGAUGCAGCAACGCCGCGUGAGUGAAGAAGUAUUUCGGUAUGUAAAGCUCUAUCAGCAGGGAAGAUAAUGACGGUACCUGACGAAGAAGCUCCGGCUAAAUACGUG
rnacentral:rRNA from 1 species